ncrna:unclassified sequences DTF805b RNA
GAAGCGGAUGCCGAAAAGCUUAAUAGAGUAGGCC